rnacentral:rRNA from 1 species
GUGAGGAAUAUUGGUCAAUGGGCGGGAGCCUGAACCAGCCAAGUCGCGUGAAGGAAGAAGGAUCUAUGGUUCGUAAACUUCUUUUGCAGGGGAAUAAAGUGCAGGACGUGUCCUGUUUUGUAUGUACCCUGAGAAUAAGGAUCGGCUAACUCCGUGCCAGCAGCCGCGGUAAUACGGAGGAUCCGAGCGUUAUCCGGAUUUAUUGGGUUUAAAGGGUGCGUAGGUGGUUUGAUAAGUCAGCGGUGAAAGUUUGCAGCUUAACUGUAAAAAUGCCGUUGAAACUGUCGGACUUGAGUGUAAAGUAGGUAGGCGGAAUGCGUGGUGUAGCGGUGAAAUGCAUAGAUAUCACGCAGAACUCCGAUUGCGAAGGCAGCUUACUAAGCUACAACUGACACUGAAGCGCGAAAGCGUGGGGAUCAAACAGGAUUAGAAACCCCAGUAGUCC